rnacentral:rRNA from 2 species
GAGUUUGAUCAUGGCUCAGAAUGAACGCUGGCGGCAGGCCUAACACAUGCAAGUCGAACGGAGUUAUAUUGUAGCUUGCUAUGGUAUAACUUAGUGGCAGACGGGUGAGUAAUGUAUAGGAAUCUACCUAGUAGUACGGAAUAAUUGUUGGAAACGGCAACUAAUACCGUAUACGCCCUGCGGGGGAAAAAUUUAUUGCUAUUAGAUGAGCCUAUAUUAGAUUAGUUAGUUGGUGAGGUAAAGGCUUACCAAGACAAUGAUCUAUAGCUGAUCUGAGAGGAUGAUCAGCCACACUGGAACUGAGAUACGGUCCAGACUCCUACGGGAGGCAGCAGUGGGGAAUAUUGGACAAUGGGCGAAAGCCUGAUCCAGCCAUGCCGCAUGAGUGAAGAAGGCCUUCGGGUUGUAAAGCUCUUUUAGUGAGGAAGAUAAUGACGGUACUCACAGAAGAAGUCCUGGCUAACUCCGUGCCAGCAGCCGCGGUAAUACGGAGAGGGCUAGCGUUAUUCGGAAUCAUUGGGCGUAAAGGGCGCGUAGGCGGGUUAGUAAGUUAAAAGUGAAAUCCCAAGGCUCAACCUUGGAACUGCUUUUAAAACUGCUAGUCUAGAGAUUGAAAGAGGAUAGAGGAAUUCCUAGUGUAGAGAUGAAAUUCGUAAAUAUUAGGAGGAACACCAGUGGCGAAAGCGUCUAUCUGGUUCAAAUCUGACGCUGAGGCGCGAAGGCGUGGGGAGCAAC